rnacentral:rRNA from 1 species
AUUGAACGCUGGCGGCAGGCCUAACACAUGCAAGUCGAACGGUAACAGGAAACAGCUUGCUGUUUCGCUGACGAGUGGCGGACGGGUGAGUAAUGUCUGGGAAACUGCCUGAUGGAGGGGGAUAACUACUGGAAACGGUAGCUAAUACCGCAUAACGUCGCAAGACCAAAGAGGGGGACCUUCGGGCCUCUUGCCAUCGGAUGUGCCCAGAUGGGAUUAGCUUGUUGGUGGGGUAACGGCUCACCAAGGCGACGAUCCCUAGCUGGUCUGAGAGGAUGACCAGCCACACUGGAACUGAGACACGGUCCAGACUCCUACGGGAGGCAGCAGUGGGGAAUAUUGCACAAUGGGCGCAAGCCUGAUGCAGCCAUGCCGCGUGUAAGAAGAAGGCCUUCGGGUUGUAAAGUACUUUCAGCGGGGAGGAAGGGAGUAAAGUUAAUACCUUUGCUCAUUGACGUUACCCGCAGAAGAAGCACCGGCUAACUCCGUGCCAGCAGCCGCGGUAAUACGGAGGGUGCAAGCGUUAAUCGGAAUUACUGGGCGUAAAGCGCACGCAGGCGGUUUGUUAAGUCAGAUGUGAAAUCCCCGGGCUCAACCUGGGAACUGCAUCUGAUACUGGCAAGCUUGAGUCUCGUAGAGGGGGGUAGAAUUCCAGGUGUAGCGGUGAAAUGCGUAGAGAUCUGGAGGAAUACCGGUGG